ACGGGGCGCAGCAGGCGCGAAACCUUUACCAUGCGGGCAACCGUGAUAAGGAAACCCCGAGUGGAUGAACAGUCAUCCUGUCCAUCAGUUUACAACGCUGGUGAAGAAAGGGCCGGGCAAGACCGGUGCCAGCCGCCGCGGUAAUACCGGCGGCUCGAGUGGUGGCCACUAUUACUGGGCUUAAAGGGUCCGUAGCUUGCAUAAUCAGCCUCUUGAGAAAUCCACUGGCUUAACCAAUGGUCGUUCAGGAGGAACUGUUAUGCUAGGGACCGGGAGAGGUAAGGGGUACUGCCGGGGUAGGAGUGAAAUCCUGUAAUCCUGGUGGGACCACCUGUGGCGAAGGCGCCUUACCAGAACGGCUCCGACAGUGAGGGACGAAAGCUGGGGGAGCGAACCGGAUUAGAUACCCGGGUAGUCCCAGCCGUAAACGAUGCGCGUUAGGUGUGUCAGUGACCACGCGUCACUGAGGUGCCGAAGGGAAACCGUGAAACGCGCCGCCU
rnacentral:rRNA from 1 species